UGAAGGAAGAAGUUUCUACACAGACAUGAUGGAGUGGUGAGAGCUCUGUGGCAGAAAGCCGCACAACGCAUUUACAGAUCUGAAAGAAGAUCAAAGUGCUUACAGCUGAAGGUAUACCCAGAAAUGAGAUGAAGUGGGGGCACAGAAGAUCAGCACUGGAGUGAACAUGAGAUCACUGAACCUUCUCUGCAUGGCUGGGAACCCAUCUUGUGAUGUGAAGAGGAGUCUCAUUAGCAGCAUCUGUCAGUAUUGUCUGCAGAAGUCAGUAACACUGGAUGAAUGUAUCCUGAGAAAUAUUUGAUGAAACUUUGCUGUAGAAGCAUUUGUGACAUGUCAACAAUUUCUAGAGAGCACGAGAGAGUCCACAGGGACAAGGAGAAAAGCAAGAUAAGAAAUAUUUUUGUCCUUUCCAAACAGGGCCCUGAUGACCAAGAACCAAGGGAAACCUUAUACCAGCUGUCAAUGAAGAUGGAAGGUUUCAGCCAAUGCUUGAGAAAAACUGAUCUCGCCAGCCACUAUGUGAGUAAUAGAGAAGCAGGUCUUUAGUAAAGCCUUUAGAAGACACUGCAGCACAGAUGCAGCUUUUAAGAGAAUCUUGUGAAAAACUUUUUGAAUCAGAGACAUCUAACUAAUCUAUUCCUUGAUAUGUGACAGAAAUCAAUAACAUGACAAGUUUUUGAAUCCCCUAAAAGUUUGGAGUUGCUAUGCUAUAUAUUAUGCAACUAAUACAGAUUCUGGUGCUACUAGUUAUUCUUGAAUUCCUCAAACAUGCCAUAUUUUUCUGUAGUUAGAAUUAAUAUCUCAUAUUAGUGGAGGCUAUUUAGUGCCAUAGUACGUGUGUACUGGUGUUCUGGUAUGUUUCAAGCUUUGCAUUUCCUUGUUUUCAUUUGUAGUUGGCAUUUCUUUACUCCUAUAAAAACUUCAAAGUUUCUUAAUAUGUUGUAUUAAUCUUUGAACCUUUUCUCCCAUAGACUAGUUGACAAUAGAUUUUAUGUAGUAAGUGUUCAAUAAAUAUUUAUUGAAUUAAAGUCAAUCAAUGUACUGAAUCAAACUUCAAUGGAACAAAGUUUGUAUAUGAGAACAAGUAGUUCAUGUUUAAGUUUUACAGCUCUUCAUUUUGAGUGUGAAUUCUGGUACAUACUUUAGAGUUAUGUUACCAAACGUAUCAUGGUGCAGUAUUUAAGAUGGUAUUUAAUAUUUUGUACUGAAACAAGAUUGUGAUAACUUUCUUAUAGAUUCAAAUAAUAUUUUCCCAGAUUGAAAUUACAAAAUCAUGGAUUUUUUGUACGUUAUCUUUUAUUAUUGGAAUAUUAGAAUUGUGAUGAUGUGCUAGACUUAAACAUGAUAGCUAUUUUGAUAAUGUCACAUUAUUUUCUGAUUAAAAGUUCUAUACUAUUUUCUAAAUGGUUCAUUGUAAGCGUUGGAUUGCUACUAUAUGUAGAGGCUAAGAAUUCAUCCCUACAGAAAUUUAGUACUAUUGUGCAGCAGAAAAGUGUUCAGACAGAUUUGGUCUGGAUUUUGGCUAAGUAAUUUACAUACUGUUUUAUAAUGAGCAAAUUAUGCAUUUCUCUGAAUAGUGCACAUAUCUAUGAUGGCACAAGAGAUUCUAGACUAUUGGUUUUGUGAUAUAUAUAUAUAUAUAUAUAUAUAUAUAUAUAUAUAUACCAGAUUAUCUGGUUAAUUAAAUGCCGCCAAUUUCUCCAUUUAUCUCAUGGAUUUCCUUUGCUUUUGUUUGAGAUAACCUACAGGUUGAGGCCAAUGUUUUUUGAUAUAACAUUGAUUUUACAGAGUUACCAUAGUCAUGAAUUCAUUUAAUCCCUUCCUUCACUAGGUCAUUAAUACAACAAAUAUUAUUGAGUCCUUUAGAAAAGUAAAGCAUUUAGUACUACUGUCUGUGAAUUCCUUAAAUAUGAAAUUUCUUGAAGAAAUAACUUGAAAUGUAUUAUUUACUAGACUUUUCAGUUAGCUACCACUUAAUUUGAAGAAAUAUUGGCUUUAAAUCUUCUAUCUUCGUAUUUAUGAGGUGUAGUCAACAAAUAUGGUUAAUGCUUAAAUUAAAAAAAAUUAUAAUAAAAGACACAUUGUUAUUACUCCCUAUCAAAAUAUUCCCUCCACUUUAGAGCACAGUUAGAACAUAUUUUUAGCACUUUCUGACAUAGUUCUGGGAGUCUUCUUUUGCAAUGUAUUUGCAAGACUACCUCCAUAUCCUUAAUUAAAAAUGCCGGAGUGGUGGCAAACCUAUGGCAUGUGUGUUAUUUGUUUUUCUUUUAAGACAAAAGAUGUUAAUUAUGAGUUGUCUUUUCUAAACUCAACCCUCAAUAUUUAGGUUUAAUUGCAGUCAUUUACUUGGCCAUUUGUGAUAAGUAAAUGGGUUUUGGGCUACAGUUUAGAUAUUUGUCUCUAAAUGGUUUGUCAUCACUGUUUUAGGGCAAUUUCUGUCAAAUAGAAACAUUACAGUGUGUCCUCAUCCACCUUAUUUAAGGAAUGUGGCAUCACAUUGAGACCUUUGGUUCUUUUCUAAGGUCUAAAUGAUCAUGAGAAUUAAACUCUUGAACUGAUUUAGAAUGCUGAGGCAGCCAUAACAUCACAAAUAAAGACAUGAAAAAAAAAAAAGAUUUCCAGAACUUCUUACGAAAGUGGGAAGAAGAACUGGAUAAGUGUGUUUGGUGAGGAAAAGGGCUUGAGGGGGAUUCACAGCAAUGUGUAUUUUACUGUAGGAAGGUUUUGUUGUUGUUUUUUAACCUAAACAUUCACUGUAUGUUUUCAUCAUCCCUCAUAUUCAACCUUGAUACAUUUCUAAUUUCCUUCUUUGGUAGUCAUGUAACCUUAUUUGCUUCAUUUAAUUUGAUUAUCAGUUUCCUCAAUUGUGAAAUUGGAAGAAUAAUGGUAUUUCACGAAACUGCUCUACUGGUUAUAUAUGACAUUCACUGUAAAAUUUCGGGUGUAUUAUCAGACAUAGAGUGUUUAAUAAAAUUUUUCAUACAAGCAUAAUAUGAAUAAAUCUUAAUUGACUAAUUCAUAUAUUGAAAAUGAUGUACUAGAAUAUAUAGGUUAAACUGAAAAGUUCUGCAAAUGUAGAUGGUUAUUUUUAUUAGUAUCGAGAAUGAAAAAUCAUCUUAUAAUUUAUUGAAUUCAGAGAUCUAUGUAAAAAUACUCUGUAACCAAUAGGCAAUCAAUGAAGCUUUGCUAUUUCAUAUAAGAAUCUGUAAUAAGAUAUCAGACAGACCUAGUUUAGGGCUGAACAACGUAAUUCCUUAAGAUAUGCAUCAGUUAAUAAAAUACUACUAUGUAGCUCCUUGAUCAGUGAGUAUUAGCUCACUAUGGCAUUUAUUUUCUUUUGUUUAUUCUUUUAUAAUCUUUCUUUAUGCUGAUAAUAUUCAAUUUUGCCAUCAAGGAAGCUUUGGUUUCCAUUAAAUAGUUGCACUGUUUCAAAAGGACAAAUUUGGUAUUCUUUUCAUAGCUAAAAUAUGCUAUGGGUAUAA